rnacentral:ncRNA from 1 species
GGGGUAGAGGUGCAUAAUUUAAAAGUAGGCUAUGUGAGGAUGACAACGUUGAGCAUAGCUAAAAGGAAAUUGUGCCGAAGUAAUAGAGUUGUGUCAGCGACUUAUUACUGGGGUUACUUUGAAUAAGAGUAACACUGUCAUUAUGGGAUAUCCAUAAUGGGGAGCUACAGGU